GCGCUAACCCGCAAGGGAGGCAGCGUCGGACCACGGUAGGAUCAGCGACUGGGCG
rnacentral:rRNA from 1 species